rnacentral:rRNA from 1 species
CUAAGAAUAUUCCGCAAUGGACGAAAGUCUGACGGAGCGACGCCGCGUGGAUGAAGAAGGCCGCAAGGUUGUAAAAUCCUUUUGCUGGGGAAGAAUAAGUCCAGGAGGGAAUGCCUGGAUGAUGACAUGAACCGGCGAAUAAGCCCCGGCCAACUACGUGCCAGCAGCCGCGGUAACACGUAGGGGGCGAGCGUUGUUCGGAAUUACUGGGCGUAAAGGGCAUGUAGGCGGUUUAGUAAGCUUGGCGUGAAAGACCACAGCUCAACUGUGGGGUUGCGUUGAGAACUGCUGAACUUGAGUUACGGAGAGGGAGCUAGAAUUCCUGGUGUAGGGGUGGAACCUGUAGAGAUCAGGAAGAAUACCGAUGGCGAAGGCGGCCACCUGGACAGGCAUUGACGCUGAGGUGCGAAAGUGUGGGGAGCAAACA